rnacentral:rRNA from 1 species
CCCUUAGAUGUUCUGGGCCGCACGCGCGCUACACUGAUGAACGCAAUGAGCUCCUCCCUUAUUCGAAAGAAUCGGGUAAACUUGUGAAAGUUCAUCGUGAUGGGGAUAGAUUAUUGCAAUUAUUAAUCUUCAACGAGGAAUUCCUAGUAAGCGUGAGUCAUCAGCUCACGUUGAUUACGUCCCUGCCCUUUGUACACACCGCCCGUCGCUCCUACCGAUUGAAUGGUCCGGCGAAAUCUUCGGAUUGCUGACCAUGGCAUUUAUUUGUCUUGGUUGCGAGAAGUUGAUUAAACCUUAUCAUUUAGAGGAAGGAGAAGUCGUAACA